rnacentral:rRNA from 1 species
UACGGAGGGUGCGAGCGUUGUCCGGAUUUAUUGGGUUUAAAGGGUGCGUAGGUGGCCUUAUAAGUCAGCGGUGAAAGUCUGCAGCUUAACUGUAGAACUGCCAUUGAUACUGUAAGGCUUGAGUACUGAUGAGGUAGGCGGAAUUGAUAGUGUAGCGGUGAAAUGCAUAGAUAUUAUCAAGAACACCGAUUGCGAAGGCAGCUUACUAAGGAGUUACUGACACUGAGGCACGAAAGCGUGGGGAUCAAACAGG